rnacentral:rRNA from 1 species
UACGUAGGGGGCGAGCGUUGUCCGGAAUCACUGGGCGUAAAGGGCGCGUAGGUGGCUUUGUAAGUUUGCGGUGAAAGCCCGGGGCUCAACCCCGGGUCUGCCGUGGAUACUGCAAGGCUUGAGUACUGUAGAGGCAGGUAGAAUAUCGGGUGUAGCGGUGGAAUGCGUAGAUAUCAGGAGGAACACCAAUGGCGAAGGCAGCUCGCUGGGACGGUACUGACGCUGAGACGCGAAAGCGUGGGGAGCAAACAGG